CCUACGGGGAGCUGCAGUGGGGAAUAUUGGACAAUGGGCGAAAGCCUGAUCCAGCCAUGCCGCGUGUGUGAAGAAGGCCUUCGGGUUGUAAAGCACUUUCAGUGGGGAAGAAAGCCUUGGGGCUAAUACCCUCGAGGAAGGACAUCACCCACAGAAGAAGCACCGGCUAACUCCGUGCCAGCAGCCGCGGUAAUACGGAGGGUGCGAGCGUUAAUCGGAAUUACUGGGCGUAAAGCGCGCGUAGGCGGUCUGAUAAGCCGGUUGGGAAAGCCCCGGGCUCAACCUGGGAACGGCAUCCGGAACUGUCAGGCUAGAGUGCAGGAGAGGAAGGUAGAAUUCCCGGUGUAGCGGUGAAAUGCGUAGAGAUCGGGAGGAAUACCAGUGGCGAAGGCGGCCUUCUGGACUGACACUGACGCUGAGGUGCGAAAGCGUGGGUAGCAAACAGGAUUAGAUACCCGAGUAGUC
rnacentral:rRNA from 1 species